UACGUAGGGUGCAAGCGUUGUCCGGAAUUAUUGGGCGUAAAGAGCUCGUAGGCGGUGUGUCGCGUCGGCCGUGAAAACCUGCAGCUUAACUGUGGGCUUGCGGUCGAUACGGGCAUCACUGGAGUUCGGCAGGGGAGACUGGAAUUCCUGGUGUAGGCGGUGAAAAUGCGCAGAUAUCAGGAGGAACACCGGUGGCGAAGGCGGGUCUCUGGGCCGAUACUGACGCUGAGGAGCGAAAGCGUGGGGAGCGAACAGG
rnacentral:rRNA from 1 species